AUGAGAGCUGGAGGGGUAGCGCCGGCUGGCCACACCUCUGCUUAGGAGCUGAAGGAGGGACAUGCUGCUGCUUCUGGGAGCUGCCUGAGGUAAGCGACACCUGGAGUCUG